rnacentral:rRNA from 1 species
GUACACGAGCGGCGAACGGGUGAGUAACACGUGGGUGAUCUGCCCUGUACUUCGGGAUAAGCCUGGGAAACUGGGUCUAAUACCGGAUAUGACCUUCGGAUGCAUGUCUUGGGGUGGAAAGAUUUAUCGGUACAGGAUGGGCCCGCGGCCUAUCAGCUUGUUGGUGGGGUAAUGGCCUACCAAGGCGACGACGGGUAGCCGGCCUGAGAGGGCGACCGGCCACACUGGGACUGAGACACGGCCCAGACUCCUACGGGAGGCAGCAGUGGGGAAUAUUGCACAAUGGGCGAAAGCCUGAUGCAGCGACGCCGCGUGAGGGAUGACGGCCUUCGGGUUGUAAACCUCUUUCGACAGGGACGAAGCGCAAGUGACGGUACCUGUAGAAGAAGCACCGGCCAACUACGUGCCAGCAGCCGCGGUAAUACGUAGGGUGCGAGCGUUGUCCGGAAUUACUGGGCGUAAAGAGCUUGUAGGCGGUUCGUCGCGUCGUUCGUGAAAACUUGGGGCUCAACCCCAAGCUUGCGGGCGAUACGGGCGGACUAGAGUACUUC